rnacentral:rRNA from 1 species
GAUGAACGCUGGCGGCGUGCCUAAUACAUGCAAGUCGAGCGAACGGACGAGAAGCUUGCUUCUCUGAUGUUAGCGGCGGACGGGUGAGUAACACGUGGAUAACCUACCUAUAAGACUGGGAUAACUUCGGGAAACCGGAGCUAAUACCGGAUAAUAUUUUGAACCGCAUGGUUCAAAAGUGAAAGACGGUCUUGCUGUCACUUAUAGAUGGAUCCGCGCUGCAUUAGCUAGUUGGUAAGGUAACGGCUUACCAAGGCAACGAUGCAUAGCCGACCUGAGGGGGUGAUCGGCCACACUGGAACUGAGACACGGUCCAGACUCCUACGGGAGGCAGCAGUAGGAAAUCUUCCGCAAUGGGCGAAAGCCUGACGGAGCAACGCCGCGUGAGUGAUGAAGGUCUUCGGAUCGUAAAACUCUGUUAUUAGGGAAGAACAUAUGUGUAAGUAACUGUGCACAUCUUGACGGUACCUAAUCGGAAAGCCACGGCUAACUACGUG